rnacentral:rRNA from 1 species
UACGAAGGGUGCAAGCGUUAAUCGGAAUUACUGGGCGUAAAGCGUGCGUAGGCGGUUUCUUAAGUCUGCUGUGAAAGCCCCGGGCUCAACCUGGGAAUGGCGGUGGAUACUGAGAAGCUGGAGUACGGUAGAGGAAGGUGGAAUUCCCGGUGUAGCGGUGAAAUGCGUAGAGAUCGGGAGGAACACCAGUGGCGAAGGCGACUACCUGGCCUGUUCUUGACGCUGAGGCGCGAAAGCUAGGGGAGCAAACGGG